UACAGGCCUUAAAAAAAAAAAAAAAAAAAAAAUGCUUGGAAACUGAUUACUAAUUAUUUUAUGGUCUUUUAUGUACUUUGGGUCUUCAAGUGGAAUGGAGGCAUGCAGGAGGUGCAUAGUUGGUAUACAUUUUACAAGAGUAGUAAGAAAUAUAAGCAUUACUGAAUUACAGUAUACAUUAAUCGAGAAGCUGACAUGACGUUGUUACCAGUUAAAACAUUUACAUUGGCAAUGUGGUAAUCAUUGAAUGCAAGUUUUUAUUAGUAAUAAUAAUAACACUACUCAUACUAUUCUCAUAUUCACCCACACACACAUCCGAUAAAGACAUAGACUUAAAGUAUGAGAAAUAAGAGAGAAUGAAGUUCAUCAAGUCUUACAUUAGUAGUCUUACACCCCUUUUUUCCACUAGAGGGAGACCAUAUGUGACAUUUACUUGGAUGACUGAAAGGGUUCAGGUCUUCACUGAUCCAUUUGAUGUCUGAUGAUGACAUAACAUUUUGGAAUGAAAAUACAGAUCAGUAAACUAUAACUGGAAGCUAAAAUGGCAAAUAUCUCAACAGCUACAGUUAACUUUCCAGGUGUGCUCAGAACACAGGAGAUACAGAGUACAAAAGUGAUGCCAAAUGCUGUGUGACGCAACAUACAGGACCACUCAGUGGGCCGACCAAUGAAAGUAAGUGAACAGAGGAAACA